UACGUAGGUGGCAAGCGUUGUCCGGAAUUAUUGGGCGUAAAGCGCGCACAGGCGGCCUUUUAAGUCUGAUGUGAAAGCCCACGGCUCAACCGUGGAAGGUCAUUGGAAACUGAAGGGCUUGAGUACAGAAGAGGAAAGCGGAAUUCCACGUGUAGCGGUGAAAUGCGUAGAGAUGUGGAGGAACACCAGUGGCGAAGGCGGCUUUCUGGUCUGUAACUGACGCUGAGGCGCGAAAGCGUGGGGAGCAAACAGG
rnacentral:rRNA from 1 species